rnacentral:piRNA from 1 species
UUCUGCAUUUCCGAGAAAAUC